AAUGAGAUGCCUGAUUAAAGGAUUACCUUGAUAGGGUAAAUAAAGUAAAAAAAAAUUACUCUCAUUA
rnacentral:tRNA from 2 species